GUACUCAUCUCCCAGAGUUUCAGCACAAAGCAGUGGAAAGAUUUGUGUGUGGGAGAUGUGCUGCGGAUCCACAAAGACCAAGUCAUCCCUGCAGAUGUUCUUCUUCUAUGCAGUUCAGAGCCUCACAGUCUGUGUUAUG